GAUGAACGCUGGCGGCGUGCCUAAUACAUGCAAGUCGAGCGAACAGACGAGGAGCUUGCUCCUCUGACGUUAGCGGCGGACGGGUGAGUAACACGUGGAUAACCUACCUAUAAGACUGGGAUAACUUCGGGAAACCGGAGCUAAUACCGGAUAAUAUAUUGAACCGCAUGGUUCAAUAGUGAAAGACGGUUUUGCUGUCACUUAUAGAUGGAUCCGCGCCGCAUUAGCUAGUUGGUAAGGUAACGGCUUACCAAGGCAACGAUGCGUAGCCGACCUGAGAGGGUGAUCGGCCACACUGGAACUGAGACACGGUCCAGACUCCUACGGGAGGCAGCAGUAGGGAAUCUUCCGCAAUGGGCGAAAGCCUGACGGAGCAACGCCGCGUGAGUGAUGAAGGUCUUCGGAUCGUAAAACUCUGUUAUUAGGGAAGAACAAAUGUGUAAGUAACUAUGCACGUCUUGACGGUACCUAAUCAGAAAGCCACGGCUAACGAC
rnacentral:rRNA from 1 species